UAUAGGUGACCUGCGGAGGAUCAUUACUGAUUUGCUUAAUUGCACCACAUGUGUUUUUUAUUGAACAAAUUUCUUUGGUGGCGGGAGCAAUCCUACCGCCAGAGGUUAUAACUAAACCAAACUUUUUAUUUACAGUCAAACUUGAUUUAUUAUUACAAUAGUCAAAACUUUCAACAACGGAUCUCUUGGUUCUCGCAUCGAUGAAGAACGCAGCGAAAUGCGAUACGUAAUAUGAAUUGCAGAUAUUCGUGAAUCAUCGAAUCUUUGAACGCACAUUGCGCCCUUUGGUAUUCCAAAGGGCAUGCCUGUUUGAGCGUCAUUUCUCCCUCAAACCCCCGGGUUUGGUGUUGAGCAAUACGCUAGGUUUGUUUGAAAGAAUUUACGUGGAAACUUAUUUUAAGCGACUUAGGUUUAUCCAAAACGCUUAUUUUGCUAGUGGCCACCACAAUUUAUUUCAUAACUUUGACCUCAAAUCAGGUAGGACUACCCGCUGAACUUAAGCAUAUCAAUAAGCGGAGGAA
rnacentral:rRNA from 1 species